rnacentral:lncRNA from 1 species
CAUGUUUGACCGUGAAUAACUUUUUCCUCUUAAUGAAUUUGGACAAUCUAUAAAUUGGGUCUUGUAGAGAAAAUAUCAGACUACAAUUAACAACAAUCAUAACGUUUAAACAACAUCAUAUCUGGGAUAAAUUAGUCAUCAAAGUAGCUGUCAGAGAUGUUCUUCGUGAAGAACAGUUCGAGGUACCUCCUUUGGACCUCUAUAACUUGAUGAUCGUGUAACGUUUAUGUGAUCUAUCAAUUCCAGUGUGUAUACAUCAUGUAGCACUACAACUAUAACACUUAACAUCAUCAUAAUAACAUCAGAUCUAACCGGAAAUCGUUGGUCAAAGUAGACCACGGACAACUGUUCAAGAAUUUCUGGGUUCGCGGUUUUUGGCAGUUUGGUCAAUCAUGUUUGACCGCUUGUAUCUUGUGAUCUAUAAUAGCUCUAGCUUUGAUUAUUUUUUCAUCCUAAAGACCACAUAUCAGGCUACAUGUUACAAGUUUUAAACAUCAAAAACACUAAACACACACGAAUCUAUGGGGGAUGACUUUGGCUUGUCAGACCAUAUUUUUGGUUUUUUUCCAAAGUUUGAAAACUUUGAUUUUGAGCACUUUGAUGUUAUGGGUCAUGAAUUUAACAAUCCAGAACAUUAAUAGACUCUCUAUUACACAACUUUAAACAAUCAAUUGCAUCAAUUAACAUCGAAUCGAAGGAUUUCUAGAAUUUAGGAUUUCCUACCUUUUCAAGCUUGAUUUUUGAUUUCUGGCUUCUUGAUGCUUCUGAUUUGUGGUUUGUGAUAGUUGGGCUUUGAUUAUGAGCUUAUGGGCAAGGCAAAUUCGUUGGCUAGAGGUUGAGAGAGUGUAGCUAGAGAGUUUAGAAAAUAUUAGAGUGUGUUUUCAUUAUUUCUCCUUCAAUCUCUAUAUAUAGACCCUUAGAUUGCCUUGGAUGCUGAUAUGGCUGGUAAUUAUAGAGCUCAAAGGACAAUAAUAGAGUGGUUGGCCGGAUUUGGUGGAUUAGUAGCAAUGAUACACAAUUAUUUCACCAAUAAUGCACUAAAGUGGACAAAAGGGCAAAAUGGUAAUUUCCCCUCCAAUAAUUGAUUUCUUCCUUUAAUAAUGCACAAGGGUAGUUUAGACUUCUCAUGUCUACCAUGAAGGGCAUUUUAGACAUUGGCCAUAACCAUUAGGGUUUAUCACUUUAGAUUUUAAAAUUCCAUAAAUAAUAUAACUAAUAAUACACUAAAAGGGUAUUUUGGUAAUUUCACAUAUAAUUUCAUGGGCAUUUUUGUACAUAGCAAUUAAAUGUAGUAUUUAAUCACUAGAUGGUAAUUCUUAUCAUUUACCAAUUACUUUCUAUCCUUUGGUAAAUUAAAACAUUUAUACAAUAACAUCGUAAUUAAACCCAAUAAUUUUAAAUUAGGGUUUUGAUUGAAAAAUUAGGGUUUUCUAAUUAGGGUUUCUUAACGCCAUCAAUUAGGGUUUCUAAUUGACCAUUAGGGUUCUCUAAUUAUCUG